GGGCCUAUAGCUCAGUUGGUCAGAGCAGGCGACUCAUAAUCGCUUGGUCGAGGUCCGAAGGAAGCGUUAGAAUUACCA
rnacentral:tRNA from 1 species